GAUGAACGCUGGCGGCGUGCCUAAUACAUGCAAGUCGAGCGGUAACACUUCGGGUGACGAGCGGCGGACGGCUGAGUAACGCGUGGGAAUGUACCCCAAAGUGAGGGAUAACUGCUCGAAAGAGUAGCUAAUAUCGCAUGUGGCCUACGGAUUAAAGCUUCGGCGCUUUGGGAACAGCCUGCGUAAGAUUAGCUUGUUGGUGAGGUAACGGCUCACCAAGGCGACGAUCUUUAGCUGGUCUGAGAGGAUGAUCAGCCAGACUGGGACUGAGAACGGCCCAGACUCCUACGGGAGGCAGCAGUAGGGAAUUUUCCACAAUGGACGAAAGUCUGAUAGAUCAACGCCGCGUGCAGGAUGAAUGCCUUCGGGUUGUAAACUGCUUUUAUAUGUGACGAUUAUGACGGUAGCAUAUGAAUAAGGAUCGGCUAAUUCCGUGCCAGCAGCCGCAGUAA
rnacentral:rRNA from 1 species